GUGCCAGCAGCCGCGGUAAGACAGAGGUGCCAAGCGUUAGGCGGAAUCACUGGGCUUAAAGCGUGUGUAGGCGGACGUCUAAGUGCCUUGUGAAAUCCCAUGGCUCAACCAUGGAACUGCUGGGCAUACUGGGCGUCUUGAGUCACCCAGGGGCUGCCGGAACAAAUGGUGGAGCGGUGAAAUGCGUAGAUAUCAUUUGGAACGCCAAUGGCGAAAGCAGGCAGCUGGGGGUGAUCUGACGCUGAGACACGAAAGCCAGGGGAGCGAACGGGAUUAGAUACCCCCGUAGUCC
rnacentral:rRNA from 1 species